CAGCCGCCGCGGUAAUACGGAGGAUGCAAGCGUUAUCCGGAAUUAUUGGGCGUAAAGGGUCCGCAGGUGGCACAUCAAGUCUGCUGUCAAAGACCGAAGCUUAACUUCGGGCAGGCAGUGGAAACUGGUGAGCUAGAGUACGGUAGGGGUAGAGGGAAUUUCCAGUGUAGCGGUGAAAUGCGUAGAGAUUGGAAAGAACACCAGUGGCGAAGGCGCUCUACUGGACCUGUACUGACACUGAGGGACGAAAGCUAGGGGAGCGAAAGGGAUUAGAUACCCCUGUAGUCCUAGCUGUAAACGAUGGAUACUAGGCGUUGCUUGUAUCGACCCGAGCAGUGCCGUAGCUAACGCGUUAAGUAUCCCGCCUGGGGAGUACGCACGCAAGUGUGAAACUCAAAGGAAUUGACGGGGGCCCGCACAAGCGGUGGAGUAUGUGGUUUAAUUCGAUGCAACGCGAAGAACCUUACCAGGACUUGACAUCCCGCGAAUCUGGGAGAGAUCCGAGAGUGCCCUAGGGAACGCGGAGACAGGUGGUGCAUGGCUGUCGUCAGCUCGUGUCGUGAGAUGUUGGGUUAAGUCCCGCAACGAGCGCAACCCUCGUCCUUAGUUGCCAGCAUUAAGUUGGGCACUUUGGGGAGACUGCCGGUGACAAACCGGAGGAAGGUGGGGAUGACGUCAAGUCAGCAUGCCCCUUACGUCCUGGGCUACACACGUACUACAAUGGUUGGGACAAAGGGCAGCGAGCGAGCAAUCGUGAGCGAAUCUCAUCAAACCCAGCCUCAGUUCAGAUUGCAGGCUGCAACUCGCCUGCAUGAAGGAGGAAUCGCUAGUAAUCGCAGGUCAGCAUACUGCGGUGAAUCCGUUCCCGGGCCUUGUACACACCGCCCGUCACACCAUGGAAGCUGGCCACGCCCGAAGUCGUUACCCUAACCGUUCGCGGAGGGGGAUGCCGAAGGCAGGGCUGGUGACUGGGGUGAAGUCGUAACAAGGUAACCGUA
rnacentral:rRNA from 1 species